AGGAGAAAAGUCAAAGCCCCUGGACAGCGUGGGAAGCUGAAGUCUGAAAGUGUCUACAUGCCACUGUUGCUUGGAGCUGUAUUUGCUGGUGCUGAUAAGUUGAGUUCAGCUCCUUGGGGUAAAAGAAGUAUCGGGAGGAAAAUACAUAAGUGAUACAUAAACAAUUGAAGAAAUUGAAGAAACAAUUGAAGAGAUUGAAGGAAUGACAGGAAUUCUAUCCCAUUUCUGUCCUUCCUGCUGCUCCACUGGGCUACCGAUGCCAUUCAGAAUCCCUGCAAAUUUGAGAUGCUGCCAAAGCAUUCAUAUACACACACAUCUUUUGGAGGUUACAAUGUGGAGCACAGAGUCCUUUCAAUUGGCUAGACUAAAGGCAACCGAGGGACCAGUGUGCACCGCCAGCCCACUUUGCCUGACAGAUAUACGGCCUGCAGGGAGCCGACAUCAAUUUUUUUAUUGGCUUGACAAAAAGACAGGAAGUGUAUGACAUAAUCCUGACCUCCCCUCACCGGCCACUUCAGCGUCCAGGGCCUCCAAGGUAUAGAAGUCUCACCUUUUCAACAAGGCACCACCUCUCUUGAAAAGCUUCCAUGGCAAGCUGGCUUCUCCUUGAUCCAAGAAAGGGGCCCCUACCCACGUUAAGGACUGAACUGCAGUCACCUUAGAUAAUUUAAUCCUUCUAUAGUGAUAAUUUGGGAGCAUACUACAAUGCAGAUGCUUCAAUAACGGGUGGAGUAGAAAUAUUUUAAAUAAAUAAA